CUACUGCUGAGGAGUGCUAUACUAGGACGAAACGGCCGUCCGGUGC
rnacentral:hammerhead_ribozyme from 1 species